rnacentral:rRNA from 1 species
ACACUCCUGCGGGAGGCAGCAGUGGGGAAUAUUGGACAAUGGGCGCAAGCCUGAUCCAGCCAUGCCGCGUGAGUGAUGAAGGCCCUAGGGUUGUAAAGCUCUUUCACCGGUGAAGAUAAUGACGGUAACCGGAGAAGAAGCCCCGGCUAACUUCGUGCCAGCAGCCGCGGUAAUACGAAGGGGGCUAGCGUUGUUCGGAUUUACUGGGCGUAAAGCGCACGUAGGCGGACUAUUAAGUCAGGGGUGAAAUCCCGGUGCUCAACCCCGGAACUGCCUUUGAUACUGGUAGUCUUGAGUUCUAGAGAGGUGAGUGGAAUUCCGAGUGUAGAGGUGAAAUUCGUAGAUAUUCGGAGGAACACCAGUGGCGAAGGCGGCUCACUGGCUCGAUACUGACGCUGAGGUGCGAAAGCGUGGGGAGCAAACAGGAUUAGAUACCCCAGUAGUCCCA